UACGUAGGGGCCGAGCGUUGUCCGGAGUUACUGGGCGUAAAGCGCGCGCAGGCGGCUCGUCAAGCCUGACGUGAAAGCCCCCGGCUCAACCGGGGAGGGUCGUCGGGGACUGGCGGGCUUGAGGUCGGCAGGGGUUGGUGGAAUUCCCGGUGUAGUGGUGAAAUGCGUAGAUAUCGGGAGGAACACCAGUGGCGAAGGCGACUACCUGGCCUGUUCUUGACGCUGAGGCGCGAAAGCUAGGGGAGCAAACGGGG
rnacentral:rRNA from 1 species